AAASGUGACGCUCAAUGGGUGGUAAAUUUCAUCUAAAGCUAAAUACCGGCUGGAGACCGAUAGCGCACAAGUAGAGUGAUCGAAAGAUGAAAAGCACUUUGGAAAGAGAGUCAAAAAGCACGUGAAAUUGUUGAAAGGGAAGCGCUUGCGACCAGACCUGUCCGUCGGUGAUCAGCCGCCGUUUUCGGUGGUGCACUCGCCGGCGAUCAGGCCAGCAUCGAUUUGGGCGGUCGGACAACGGCCGCGGGAACGUAGCUUCCUUCGGGGAGACCUUAUAGCCCGCGGUGCCAUGCGGCCAGCCCGGAUCGAGGACCGCGCUUCGGCAAGGAUGCUGGCGUAAUGGUUGCAAGCGACCCGUCUUGAAACACGGACCAAGGAGUCUAACAUCUAUGCGAGUGUUUGGGUGUUAAACCCAUGCGCGUAAUGAAAGUGAACGGAGGUGAGAACCCGCGAGGGCGCAUCAUCGACCGAUCCUGAUGUCUUCGGAUGGAUUUGAGUACGAGCAUAGCUGUUGGGACCCGAAAGAUGGUGAACUAUGCCUGAAUAGGGUGAAGCCAGAGGAAACUCUGGUGGAGGCUCGCAGCGGU
rnacentral:rRNA from 1 species